GGGGUUGUACUGGUUUCGACGGGGGUGUGGAAGUUUGAGAAGCCAUCCGCAGACUCCGGGACUGCGUAAUAACCUGGAACUUAAAUAUAAAAGCUAACGAAAAUUACGCUUUAGCUGCCUAAUCGCGGCUUGUCGGUCCUGAAUCACUCACCGUUCGGGGUACCGGCAUCAAACAGGUGAGGCCCUCUGGUGCCAAAGCUUUGAGGUAUCAGAAGAUUUAUGAAGCUACUGAAGUCAGAAGCCUGUCAUUCGGCGUCUGACGGAGGGAAUGUCCAUAGAAUGACUGUGAUGGGAGAUGCUUGGAUGGAUAUGCCUUCGGACCGGGGUUCGACUCCCCGCAGCUCCAC
rnacentral:tmRNA from 1 species